AUGAACGCUAGCUACAGGCUUAACACAUGCAAGUCGAGGGGCAGCAUGGUCUUAGCUUGCUAAGGCCGAUGGCGACCGGCGCACGGGUGAGUAACACGUAUCCAACCUGCCGUCUACUCUUGGACAGCCUUCUGAAAGGAAGAUUAAUACAAGAUGGCAUCAUGAGUCCGCAUGUUCACAUGAUUAAAGGUAUUCCGGUAGACGAUGGGGAUGCGUUCCAUUAGAUAGUAGGCGGGGUAACGGCCCACCUAGUCUUCGAUGGAUAGGGGUUCUGAGAGGAAGGUCCCCCACAUUGGAACUGAGACACGGUCCAAACUCCUACGGGAGGCAGCAGUGAGGAAUAUUGGUCAAUGGGCGAGAGCCUGAACCAGCCAAGUAGCGUGAAGGAUGACUGCCCUAUGGGUUGUAAACUUCUUUUAUAAAGGAAUAAAGUCGGGUAUGGAUACCCGUUUGCAUGUACUUUAUGAAUAAGGAUCGGCUAACUCCGUGCCAGCAGCCGCGGUAAUACGGAGGAUCCGAGCGUUAUCCGGAUUUAUUGGGUUUAAAGGGAGCGUAGAUGGAUGUUUAAGUCAGUUGUGAAAGUUUGCGGCUCAACCGUAAAAUUGCAGUUGAUACUGGAUAUCUUGAGUGCAGUUGAGGCAGGCGGAAUUCGUGGUGUAGCGGUGAAAUGCUUAGAUAUCACGAAGAACUCCGAUUGCGAAGGCAGCCUGCUAAGCUGCAACUGACAUUGAGGCUCGAAAGUGUGGGUAUCAAACAGGAUUAGAUACCCUGGUAGUCCACACGGUAAACGAUGAAUACUCGCUGUUUGCGAUAUACUGCAAGCGGCCAAGCGAAAGCGUUAAGUAUUCCACCUGGGGAGUACGCCGGCAACGGUGAAACUCAAAGGAAUUGACGGGGGCCCGCACAAGCGGAGGAACAUGUGGUUUAAUUCGAUGAUACGCGAGGAACCUUACCCGGGCUUAAAUUGCAGAUGAAUUACGGUGAAAGCCGUAAGCCGCAAGGCAUCUGUGAAGGUGCUGCAUGGUUGUCGUCAGCUCGUGCCGUGAGGUGUCGGCUUAAGUGCCAUAACGAGCGCAACCCUUGUUGUCAGUUACUAACAGGUUCCGCUGAGGACUCUGACAAGACUGCCAUCGUAAGAUGUGAGGAAGGUGGGGAUGACGUCAAAUCAGCACGGCCCUUACGUCCGGGGCUACACACGUGUUACAAUGGGGGGUACAGAGGGCCGCUACCACGCGAGUGGAUGCCAAUCCCCAAAACCUCUCUCAAUUCGGACUGGAGUCUGCAACCCGACUCCACGAAGCUGGAUUCGCUAGUAAUCGCGCAUCAGCCACGGCGCGGUGAAUACGUUCCCGGGCCUUGUACACACCGCCCGUCAAGCCAUGGGAGCCGGGGGUACCUGAAGUGCGUAACCGCGAGGAGCGCCCUAGGGUAAAACUGGUGACUGGGGCU
rnacentral:rRNA from 1 species